AUCUACGGGUAACCCUACUAUCCCACACCCAACCCCGGGUGGGGCGAACGAAGGACUCUAAGAGCCCCUAGCCUGCAACCCUGAUUCUAGACCUCCAGCAGAAAUCACAUAAAUAAUUAUCUAAACAUAAAGCCAUAAAUAAAAUGGCAUGCAAUAAUAUCAAACAGUAACUACCUUAAAGGGGUACAAUCCAAUACAGAAAUCAUCUAUGGAGAGACCUACCAAACCCUGUCAGGAUUAUGAUUCCAACUAAAUAUAACAACCUUCAUAUUGAAUAAUCC
rnacentral:lncRNA from 1 species